GACGGAAGGUGCAAGCGUUGCUCGGAAUUACUGGGCGUAAAGCGUGCGCAGGCGGUUUUGUAAGUCUGUCGUGAAAUCCCCGGGCUCAACCUGGGAAUUGCGAUGGAGACUGCAAGGCUAGAAUCUGGCAGAGGGGGGUAGAAUUCCACGUGUAGCAGUGAAAUGCGUAGAGAUGUGGAGGAACACCGAUGGCGAAGGCAGCCCCCUGGGUCAAGAUUGACGCUCAUGCACGAAAGCGUGGGGAGCAAACAGG
rnacentral:rRNA from 1 species